rnacentral:tRNA from 16 species
GGCCCGGUAGCUCAGUUGCAUAGAGCAGCGCACUCCUAACGCGAAGGUCGCAGGUUGGACUCCUGCCCGGGCCACCA